GCAGCCCAGGUCAGUCCAGUUGAAUCCUGGCUGUCGACGGAUGCAUACGCACCGUCACCGUGGAGGAAAGAAACAAUGAGCUGUUCCUGUGGCUGCUUCGUUGCCCUGUCGAUCCUGCUGCACCUUCUGACUGUUUCCAGUGGCCUAUCCACGAGCCCGUUAUCGAGUGCAGGAAACCAGACCACGAGCUUGAUGUCCCCAGACAACGUCCGCAAUCGUCGUUCACCCAUUGACAUAGCCGGCAUUGUCACGUUCGUUGGACAACUAAGUGGUUGCUGCCACUACUCC